UCUCAGUGGUUGGAAAUCUAAUAGAUACUUGUGCAAUGAAUGAGCCAACUGAGAAUCCAACACAGCGUUCUCCAAAAAAUAUGCAGUUAUCAGAUAUUAUAAAGACAAGUAUAAAGCUGGAUGUCUGCUCAGUUAUGUCCACUAAUUUCAUUCUGUUCUGCAAUUAAUUUAUCAGAUGAAAAGAAGAACUGAAAUAUAAUUCUCCUAUUCUGGGCAUUUCUGUUGCAUUACUGCUGAUGCAGCCGUUCUCAUUACAGGAAGGAAAAGUACAGCCUGGGACUUUUUACUUCUUCCAGCUAACUUUCAGUUUGACCACAGGGCGUUCAGACAGGAGUGAACCAGGCCCUGUAAAAUGCACUUGGCAAGCUAUCAGAAUGAGCAGAAGCGAUAUCCACCUGUGAAGAAUGGUGACACAGAGUACCAUCAAAACCAGCCUGAAGCCACCUUCAAUUGGGCCAGGAUUUUACUUCAACAAUUUGAAGAAGCCUUUCCCAUUUAAAUGUUCUAUGAUUCUGUAAAUGAACAAUAUUAUUCAUCUUAGGUCUGUCACAUAAAGAAGAAAAAUGUACAUAUGAGUUUAAUCCCUUCGUUGGUUUAUAACCUCAGAAUUCAGGCAGGAGAGUCACAAAUCCAUGUAGACAUCCCCAAGUGCUGACUUUUGCAUUUGGAUUUCUGAUUUAGUUGAAAAAUAUAUAAAAAACCUGUGUAGCCAGACAGCUCCCUAUUGGCUAGACAUCUGUACAGACUCAAGAGCAUCGUAUAUUUCUGCAAAGAUCUGGAAUAAAUUGUGCUCAAUGAAUUGGCCCCUCAUAUGCUUGAUUCAAACAGCGGACUCCGAUGAACUCAUGUAUCGUGGGAGUGUCAAUGGCAAAACAAUACCUCUUGGUCAAAUCUAGUGGGAGCUGCCAUCAUAAAUGUGGAAGAUGUGUGGAUCCAGGAAUAAAUAAUUUUGGAAAGAUGGAAACAUAUUUAUAGAUCAGUAUUAGUGACUUCAAAUUACAUUCCGCUUCUUGGACAUCAGUUUUGUAUUUUGAAAGCUCUACAGUUUCAAAAGAAACUGUAGAAAAGUAGCUUCACCCACCUGGCCUCAGCCAUCUAGAAAAGAAGUGCCUGGCCUAAGCAGUUCAUCUAGCAACAUCAUUCAUAGGGAGCUUUGUGUCAGUUUUACUACAAAGCAUGCCACCCUGUGAAGUUGCUUGUCUCUCCAUUGACAAAAUGGAAAACACAGGCUGGUGUUUUUUAACAUCAUCCAGCUAAAAGCUGGAUGGAAGCUAAAAGGGAUCUGCUGCUACAUAUGUACUCAGUAGGCCAUUUACCCAGCCCACAUGCAUAAACAGCAAGCAGGGGCACAAUACUGAAAACAGAUUUAUUAGUGGUCUUAUUUGUUGCUACCACAUCUUACUCUGAAGGCCUGUCUCAGCCUCUUUUGUUGGAUGAACAUGAUUCUUAUCCAUCUGACCUGACCUUUUCUUCAAUGCUAGGACAUUUGUAUGCCAUUUUUCUCCUUCAGUGUAAACAGCUGUCUGCAGCCAGUAACUCUUGAACCAACACUCAGUCUCUCGUUCAGACACUCAGCUGAGCAUGCACCCAUGUAAACAGCUCACACAUUGUUGUGUAGAUUUUCAAACACAAAAUUUUCACUUUCUUUCAUGACGGGUUCUGCAAGAGUGGGUAAAAACUGCACACAGAUUUAUGAAUCCUGCUGUUCACCCAGUCUAAAUUUUGGCUCUACUUCAACCUCUUUCCUUUCCUGUUUUCCCAAGAACGUUCCGCCUGGAAGCCAGGUUCAUUAAUGAAAAGUUCAAAAUUAUCCAGGGACUCUCUCAUCUUCCUCGCCAGCUCACGUCCUUGCUGGGAGCCUUGCAGAUCUGCCCCUACCAAGACAGGCUCAUUUCCAGCCACUCUGGUCAGAGCCAGUUCCUGCUCCUGCCACCUGAUAUCCUGCAUGCAGCACAAGAUUGAGUCUCGCAGCUCUUUUAAGCUUGGUUUCCUCCCUCUGAACUCCUUUCUGAAUUUAGGUAACCCAUAAUGUUUCCCAGAAGAUCCAAUUAUGAGUCACUUACUUUUAACACAUGAACCAUCCUUCAGCACAUCUGCAAGCUGUAGCUAUAGCCCAGGUGAGACUAAGCCUGUAGCAACUCCCUUCAUGCCACAAAAUGUAUAUUUAGAUUUCUAGAACUUAUACCGUUCUUAUAUCCCUACUUCUAAAGAUACAGGACUAUAUUUAUUCAUGGUUUUAAAUAAAUAUUUCCAUUUGUUCCUGGCAAAAAUAAA